GCACCCGUAGCUCAAUUGGACAGAGCGCCUGGCUACGGACCAGGAGGUUGGGGGUUCGAGUCCCUCCGGGUGUGCCA
rnacentral:tRNA from 1 species